rnacentral:rRNA from 1 species
AACGAACGCUGGCGGCGUGGAUAAGACAUGCAAGUCGAACGGGACUAAAUCUGUAGCAAUACAGGUUUAGUUUAGUGGCGAACGGGUGCGUAACACAUGGGCGAAUCUGCCGAGAAGUGGGGGAGUAGCUCGCCGAAAGGCGAAUUAAUACCGCAUAUGAUCAGGGACGACAUCUUCCCAACAUCAAAGCCGGGGUAACCGUGGCGCUUCUUGAUGAGCCCGCGGCCUAUCAGCUAGUUGGUGAGGUAACGGCUCACCAAGGCUAUGACGGGUAGCUGGUCUGAGAGGA